GGGGUUGUAGCUCAGUGGUAGAGCACUUGCCUAGCACAUGCAAGGCCCUGGGUUUGAUCCUCAGCACCA
rnacentral:tRNA from 1 species